rnacentral:rRNA from 1 species
GAUGAACGCUAGCUACAGGCUUAACACAUGCAAGUCGAGGGGAAACGGCAUCGAAGGCUUGCUUUUGAUGGGCGUCGACCGGCGCACGGGUGAGUAACGCGUAUCCAACCUGCCCAUCACUUGGGAAUAACCUUGCGAAAGUAAGACUAAUGCCCAAUGACAUCCCACGAAGGCAUCCGAAUGGGAUUAAAGAUUUAUCGGUGAUGGAUGGGGAUGCGUCUGAUUAGCUUGUUGGCGGGGUGACGGCCCACCAAGGCAACGAUCAGUAGGGGUUCUGAGAGGAAGGUCCCCCACAUUGGAACUGAGACACGGUCCAAACUCCUACGGGAGGCAGCAGUGAGGAAUAUUGGUCAAUGGGCGAGAGCCUGAACCAGCCAAGUAGCGUGCAGGAUGACGGCCCUAUGGGUUGUAAACUGCUUUUAUAAGGGAAUAAAGUGGGUCACGUGUGACUUUUUGCAUGUACCUUAUGAAUAAGGACCGGCUAAUUCCGUG